rnacentral:tRNA from 1 species
CGCGGAGUAGCUCAGAUGGCAUGCAAGCGGCCGCCUCAUAAGCGGUGUCGUACGCCGGUUCAAGUCCGGCCUCCGCGA